UACGGGGGGGGCAAGCGUUGUUCGGAAUUACUGGGCGUAAAGGGCUCGUAGGCGGCCAACUAAGUCGGACGUGAAAUCCCCAGGCUCAACCUGGGAACUGCGUCCGAUACUGGAUGGCUUGAGUUCGGGAGAGGGAUGCGGAAUUCCAGGUGUAGCGGUGAAAUGCGUAGAUAUCUGGAGGAACACCGGUGGCGAAGGCGGCAUCCUGGACCGAUACUGACGCUGAGGAGCGAAAGCCAGGGGAGCAAACGGG
rnacentral:rRNA from 1 species